rnacentral:lncRNA from 1 species
CUCUUAUGACAAGUGUCAGUUUCUCGCAGAGCAGCCAACCAGCUAAUGGUUGUGGGGGGCGGCUAUUUAUAGCAUGUGAGCAUCCCGACAUGAUUUGACAUUAAUACCCUUAAAUAAUAUGACGGUUGGUGUGGAUAAGAUCGGUGAUGUGGCGCGAAUUGCGGCAACGGUCGGAACUCUCAACUGUAAGAGUCCUCAUGUUUCUCAUAUUCCUCAAUUUGAGGCUUUUGGUAGGAUUAAGUUUGGGUUGAGCAUCAUGAGGAAAUUCAUUCCGAAGUCUCACCUCGACCCCCUUUAACAGUACGGUGUUCCUAUGACUCAAGAGUGAAGAAAAUAAAACAGAAAUAAUAAAUCUUCAUGCUUUAAAGUCUUCAGAUUGAUUUUCUUUAGGACACACUGAAUUCCUCAUCUUCAAUAUCUUCAUGAGGAAUAUCAAUUUCAUCGUCAUUUCUUUGCGAUUCAUUUCUUCAGCUUCAGACCAAUUUCUUCAGCCGAAGAUAUACAUUUUUAGGGGUCGAUAUUCAUCGAAUAUUUCAAACUCCUCAGCAACUUAUAGAUCCUGCGUACACUUGAACACACAUUAGAUACUUAACCUAUAAGUCUUCAAACCACCAAAAUCACUAAGGGCACUAGAUGCACUUACAAGAGCUCGCAGGAGCAACAGAAGAAGUACCAACACAGCCGUCAGGAGUCACGGGAAGCAAGGGACUGCAACGUUGCGUGCUGGUGUAGACCAUUUUUUUAGGAAUCAGCCCUCAGCAGCAGCAGUUUACCACAGGAUCGAAACAACAAGAGACCACGGGAACAACGUGAUCCAG